ensembl:lncRNA
UGAUAAAAUAUGUCUCUAAAAAGUAUGUCACCCUGCUCUGAACGAGAACUCUCUUGCUCGCAGUGGACAGGCUCUUCCACAUGAUUUUGGCUUCCUUUUCUAUUAGCUUUCAGUUGUUUUGUUUUUAGCUAUGUGAUAUGGCGCUACUUAAAGCUCUGGUUUUUCUCCUUCUACUCAAGUAACUGGGUUGGGAUUGUUUGUUGCUGUUGUUUAAUUUUUAUUGGCGGAAGUCAGGAGUGAUCCUUCUCAGGACCUGCUGUGAACAUAGAGCUUGUAAUUCAUCACCACGGUGUUAGAGAGACAGACUGGAACCUGGACUCUUCCCAUGCCCAGCCUUAUCCUGGGACUCAAGUGUCUUCAGGGCACAGGCCUCCUGCUUGCUCACACGCAAUGAGGGAUUCCGCUCACUCUCCUUCUCGCCCAGUGCCCGCCCUAUGGUUCUGGUGGGGGUGCAGGUGUGUUCAGAGCAGUUCUUCUCAAACUCCAGUGUGCAUCCACGCCACCUGAGGCUCUUGUUUACAUGCAGUCUGUGACGCGUGCAGGCUGAGGGGGGCCCGCGUGUCCUUAUUCCAAGAAAGCACCCCCGGACGUCAGUGUCCUGGGCUGUGGGCAGCAGCGGUGCAGGACGCCCCCCGCCAUGAGCUACAGUCAAGCAGGCUGUCUGUGAACCCGCGCAGGACACGGGGACGGGAGCGAGAGGAGAGGGGCCCUUACCUGACAUCAGUUACCCAUUCCACACCAGUCACCUGCCCUGCUAAUUGAAGACCCUGGGAAGACGAAUCUAUUCACAGAGAAGACGUUGGCAAAAGAAAAUAGACCCCUCGGAAGGAAAACGGCUUGGUUACUGUUUCAGCUAAGAAGUGAGAUGAGAUAUGAAGCGAUGUUUCAUUUCACGUUACCUGAAACGUCUCAGAUAAAGUCUUCCCUAGCCCCUGGAACUGAAUAAGGAGACACAGACAAGCCUUUAUGACUAGCAGCAGAGAAUAAGAGCUCCGUCUCACCGCAUUUCAGCGACCUUGCUGUGUGAGUUGUUUCUUCCAGUUCUUUGGAGUGAUUUAGCUGAACAGGUGCAAGUGGUCUGAAAGAUAGAGGAAGAGCAAGCCACCAGAGACAAGGCAGUGAGGACUCUGUCCACAUCAUAUUUCCGUGUUUGUUCUAUUUGUCAAAGACCACCCUCCACAGUUUAAACCAGAGACACUGAACAAGACGAAAGAAAAAGAAGAUAGGAUAAAAUAGAAAUACAGCUUAAGUAUAUCCCCAGGUACUAAACAAGAGAGUAAAUAGUUAAUAAUACUGUGUUAUAUAUUGGAUUGGCCAAAACAUUUGUUCAGUUUUUCUGUAAGAUGGCUCUCAUAUUGCCUAGUCAUCUUUAACUUCAUUCGAAACAACUUUGUUAGAUUGUUUUGUGACAGCUGUCAUAUAGGCAUGCAUUAAAAAAAAAUUCAAAAUUGGUGAAUUUUGUGUAGCCACUUCAAUUUUCAAGAUGGAAGAGUAAAAGCAACAUUUGGGGUAUAGUAUGCUCUAUUAUUUCAAGAAAAGUAAAAACGAAACUGAAACACCAAAAAAAAAAAAAAGAUUUCUCCAGUGUAUGGCGAAGGUGCUGUGACUGAUCGAACAUAUCAAAACUAGUUUGCAAAGUUUUCUGCUGGAGAUUUCUCCCUGGACCAUGCUUCCUGGUCGGGUAGACAAGUUGAAGUUGAUAGUGAUCAAAUCAAGACAGUAAUUGAGAACAAUCAACAUUACGCCACUUGGGAGAUAGCCAACAUACUCAAAAUGUCCAAAUCAAGUAUCGAGAAUCAUUUCCACCAAGUUGGUACGUUAAUCGCUUUGAUGUUCGGAUUCCACAUAAGUUAAGUGAAUAAAACCUUGAUUGUAUUUCCACAUGCAAUUCUUUACUUAAACAUGAGGGAAACCUUCCAUUUUUAAAACAAAUUGUGACGGUCGAUGAAAAAUGGAGACUGUGCAAGAAAGUGGGAUGGAAGAGAUCAUGGAGCAAAUGAAAUGAACCACCACUAACCAGAGGCCGGUCUUCAUCCAAAGAAGGUGACGUUGUGUAUAUGGUGGGAUUGGAAGGGAGUCCUCUAUUAUGAGCUCCUUCCAGAAAAACAAAUGAUUAAUUCCCAAAAAUACUGCUCCCAAUUAGACGACUGAAAGCAGCAUUCGACGAAAGCGUCCGGAAGGAGCCGACAGAAAACGCAUCACCUCCUGUCAGGACGACACAGGCUGCAGGUUUCUCUGACGACGGUGCAACUCGGCUGCGAAGCUCUGGUGCAUCCGCCUCGUUCACCAGACGCUACACCUUCAGAUGUCCUUUCCUUUCGGUCUCUACGACGUUCUCUCAAUGGAAACCGUUUCAACGCCCUGGAAGACAGUAAGAGGCACCUGGAGCAGUUCUUUGCUCAAAAACAUAAAAUGUUUUGGGAAGGCGGAAGUAUGAAGUUGCCUGAGCAAUGGCAGAAUGUCAUGGAGCCAAACAGUGAAUGCAUGGUCCAAUAAAAUUCUCAGUGGAAAUAAAAAAUGUGUCUUUUAUUUUUACUUAAAAACUUGAAGGAACUUUUUGGCCAAUCCAAUAUUUGACGCUGCUAACAGAGUAGACCUUAAAUGUUCUCACACAAAAAAGAAGUGAUAAUUACGUGAUGGGAGGCAGGUGGAAGCCUGUACUGUUUAAUAUGAUAUAAUCAUUUUGCAACAUAAGAAUGUAUCAAAUCAACACUCAGUGUACCUUAAACAUACACAGUGGUGUAUGUCAAUUAUAUCUCAGUAAAGCUAGAAAAAAUUUUAAAAAGAGAGUAACAGGAAAACAUGUAGGGUGUUACUUGAAUGUUUUUGUAAGAUAGUAGAAUGACUUCAACAGGAGCAUCGAUUUCACUAAAGUUUUAUACGAAAAUAUCUGCAGUCAAAAGUAGUGUUCAACUCUGCAUGAAAGCAAGUUACUUGAUGGAGGACAGUGCCGGCUCACUCCUGGCC